rnacentral:rRNA from 1 species
AUUGAACGCUGGCGGCAUGCCUUACACAUGCAAGUCGAACGGCAGCACGGGAGCAAUCCUGGUGGCGAGUGGCGAACGGGUGAGUAAUGUAUCGGAACGUGCCCAGUCGUGGGGGAUAACGUAGCGAAAGCUACGCUAAUACCGCAUACGAUCUAUGGAUGAAAGCGGGGGAUCGCAAGACCUCGCGCGAUUGGAGCGGCCGAUAUCAGAUUAGGUAGUUGGUGGGGUAAAGGCUCACCAAGCCGACGAUCUGUAGCUGGUCUGAGAGGACGACACGCCACACUGGGACUGAGACACGGCACAGACUCCUACGGGAGGCAGCAGUGGGGAAUUUUGGACAAUGGGCGCAAGCCUGAUCCAGCAAUGCCGCGUGCAGGAUGAAGGCCUUCGGGUUGUAAACUGCUUUUGUACGGAACGAAACGGCGAGCUCUAAUACAGUUUGCUAAUGACGGUACCGUAAGAAUAAGCACCGGCUAACUACGUGCCAGCCGCCGCCGUAA